UUGAGAGACUCUCUGAGGACGGGGGAUGGGGGGGAGUGGGGGGGAGGGUCCUGGUCAGAGGCCAGUGAACUGUGAGGUUACAGCCCCAUAAACACUGGAUCCGCCUUCCCAGAGUGGGGUUUCUCAAGGCACCUGCUUCAUGGGAUUGUCGAAGAGCACCUGAGUCCCGGGGCACAGAGGCCCUCGCGCGGUAGCCAUUAUUCACCAGACAGCACCUUUCAAGGGGACGUGUCCCAGGACAGAGCCGUGCAAAGAUGGAAUGAACUGCCAGAGGAAUGAAUGAGCUCUCUGUCCCUGGAGGUACGUAAAGCUACAUAAGGAGAGGAGUGAGGGGUUAGCCGAGGCAGGAAAGCUGCAAAAUGUGUUCUAAUCCAGAGAAUCUACAGAUCUAUAAUAGAAAACUGUCUAAUUACAGGCAGAGGAGGUAUUUAUCAGGUAAUAACCAUAUACUACUAAUAUAAAUAUGCAUACAGAUGAUCAUCACAGUUUUGGGGGUUUUUUUAUAAUGGAAAACAUGCUGUCUCCUAAAUUCCACCUUUUGAAAGUUAUCUUUAUGCAAUCAGCAUGUGUGUAUUCAGUCCCUUGGCUGUAAGAAUGCUCAAUGCAGUAUUGUUUGCAACAGAGGAAAAAUUGGAGACAGCCUGAAAGUUCAUUUAUAUGUUUAUUUUCUGUCUCCCUCUAGAUUGAGCUCCAAGAGGGUGGGCCCUUGUCUGUCUCAUUCACUGCUCUAUCUGUCAUAUCUAAUGGGUAUAGGAGAUACAAUGCAGUCUUUUUUUAAAAAUUUUUGUAUUCUUUGACGAGAGGGAGGGAAAGAGAGAGAGGGAGAGGGAAAUGCAAGAAAUGCAUCAAAAUGUUAACAGCAAUUGUUCCUGGGAGAUGGAAUGAAAGGUAAUUUUUGUUUUAUGCUUUGUUGUACUAUCUACAAAAAACAUGUAUUAUGUUUAUAAUGUGAAAAAACUUUAAGUAAAAAUAGAAUGACAUCAGGGUAAAAAAAAUUGCUUCAUUUGCUGAGCUCUGAGAAUGGAUUUUUAAAGCCAAACUGAAUCGUGUAAAACUAUCAGAACGUCCCUGGUGGCAGCCUUUUGCCAUCUGGCUAGGAUAACACAAGAACAAUCCAACUUAUCUGGGUGGGGAAGAAAAUAACUUGCAGUUUCGCAGUGGCCGCCCCUAAAACCAUGCCCUCCUCCCAAGGUGGCUUUUUUAUAACCUCCUUUGGGUACAGACUCGCCAUUUAUCUGUGCAAACAAGGCAUCCGUGCUGUUUGGGUAUUCCAAAGCACAUCUGCUCAAGGCAGAUAACAAAACACAGAUAACUCCACCAACAGGUCUCUGCCUUUGAAUUUGUCUUCCAAAACAAGCAAGCUCUCUCACUGUUUGGGGAGAAACCAACCUGUUUUGAAU